UACGUAGGGUGCGAGCGUUAAUCGGAAUUACUGGGCGUAAAGCGUGCGCAGGCGGUUUUGUAAGGCAGAUGUGAAAUCCCCGGGCUUAACCUGGGAAUGGCAUUUGGGACUGCAAGGCUUGAGUUUGGCAGAGGAGACUGGAAUUCCUGGUGUAGCAGUGAAAUGCGUAGAUAUCAGGAGGAAUACCGAUGGCGAAGGCAGGUCUCUGGGCUAGAACUUACGCUCAUUCACGAAAGCGUGGUGAGCAAACAGG
rnacentral:rRNA from 1 species